GUGUCAGCCGCCGCGGUAAUACGGAGGGUGCAAGCGUUAUCCGGAUUCACUGGGUUUAAAGGGUGCGUAGGCGGAUAGGUAAGUCCGUGGUGAAAUCCUGCAGCUUAACUGCAGAACUGCCAUGGAUACUAUCUAUCUUGAAUGUCGUGGAGGUUAGCGGAAUAUGUCAUGUAGCGGUGAAAUGCUUAGAUAUGACAUAGAACACCCAUUGCGAAGGCAGCUAACUACGCGAUAAUUGACGCUGAUGCACGAAAGCGUGGGGAUCAAACAGGAUUAGAAACCCCCGUAGUCC
rnacentral:rRNA from 1 species